rnacentral:lncRNA from 1 species
CCUGCCUCUUACAUACGUUAACAAUUCCAUUUCUUCUCUCUCUGGUCCAGUGAAGGGAUCUCCCUUUCCCACAAAGGCACCACUGUCUCUGCAAAGCACUCUGGUUACUUUAAUCUAUAAUAUCAGCAAUAAUCACUGUGGUAUUGUUGCCUAGGCAUUCUUGAAGAGUCAGAAGUGGACUGUAAUUGAAGAGUUCAUUACCAAGAUCAGUUGGCUCCUUGAUUACAGUGGCAAGGUGAAAUAUAUAUCCUCACCAAAAAGCAACUGCUAAACCUUUAGAGAAGUCACCCAC